rnacentral:tRNA from 1 species
GCUCCCGUAGCUCAGCGGUUGAGAGCGUGGUACUUAUAAUGCCAAGGUCGCGGGUUCGAUCCCCGCCGGGAGCA